ensembl:lncRNA
GUAUUCCCAGCACUAUUGCCAGUGCCCUGCUCCCCUAGAAAUUCAGACGCCACAGUAGUUGAAUCAUGUUUAGUGCUUCCUUGUAAUGCUUUUUCCUGCCUCUCUGUUGGUGACUCUCUUAGGUUGUCUGCUGUGUUUACCAUACAACCAAAUCACUAAAGUAUGUAUACUCUGUGUGAGAUGUCAGCAAAGAAAAACUUGCUGGGGACAGAGAUAAGUCCUGAGAUGUCAUGAGGACUCUGUAUACCUCAGCAGUUUGGACUACACCACCAGAGUGCACAGCCAUUCCGCAUUCAUUUCUCUUGCAUCUCCAGCACCAUGAUACUGAUAAACCCCAGCUGCUGACAAAACAGAAACGGAACAUGGUGAUACAAGCAAAUCAAAUACAAGC